AUCACUUAAGGUUGGGGAUUUAAAGGCAGGGUAGUGACAAUAUCUUACAUUUUUAUGUAAUCUGGCCAUUUUAUGUAAAAAGGGGGGGAACAUGAGCAGGUAAUCCUCCAAGUGUGUUAUUAUCAGUCUGUUUGCUACUUCUUAAAAUAUUACUUUGUGUUAUUUCUAGGACAACAUUAGGUCCUGUAGUUUCUUAUUGGAAACAAGUAGUAAUCUUACAUGCCAUUGUUAAUGUGGGUGCAAAAUUCCAUGUCCUCUGCUGCUAAUAUUUGUCAUUUGAUGCAGGUUUUAUGAUCUUAAUGUACAUUUUUGAGACGUAUUUGGACAUGAGAUAGCAUUCUGCUCUGAGGCUCCCCACCCUUCCUAAACCAUUGCUAGGGGUGUUCAGUCAGGAAAAUUUUGAGAAAUCACGUGCUUACAGCCUUGAUAAGAGAUAUCAUUGUUCUUCUUGUCUGAAACUUUGAAAUAUAUCUGGUUGGGUUCCUUGUUUGGAAAUUCUGCUGCAAAUAUGACUAGUAUGUCCUUACUUUCAUGUUCCGGUGAUUGGCAAUGUUAUGUGGUGAGCUCAUUUAGUCUUGUAUGUUGGGUUUCAGUCGCUUCCACUUUGUUCACGAGGCCUUUACAAUUGCGAUAGACUUCGUGAAUCUUGUACUUUGGUGCAUUGCCUUGGUGUUGGAAGAAAUCAGCAGAUCUUUUAAUAUCCAUGGGCUGGAACCCUGAGAAUGAGAUCCUUCAUACACUGGCAUUCUUGGCAGGUGUCAUGCUUUGGUCACAUAUCAUUGAUUUGCCGUUCUCACUGUACUCGACCUUUGUAAUUGAGGCUCGCCAUGGCUUUAACAAAGUUUGAACUGCUUGGACUGUGAACUCGUUGUCAAAUUUGAAUUAAAUAUAGUUGGUUUAUCCUCAUGAAUGGCAUCUGAACCUCUUAUUAUUAUUUUUUUAAGUUGAAG